rnacentral:rRNA from 1 species
UAAUAGCGUGGUCCAACCUGCCCCAUGCUCCAGAAUAGCUCUUGGAAACGGGUGGUAAUGCUGGAUGCUCCAACUUGACGCAUGUCUUGUUGGGAAAGUGUUUAGUGGCAUGGGAUGGGGUCGCGUCCUAUCAGCUUGUAGGCGGGGUAAUGGCCCACCUAGGCUUCGACGGGUAGCCGGCCUGAGAGGGCGGACGGCCACAUUGGGACUGAGAUACGGCCCAGACUCCUACGGGAGGCAGCAGC